CGGGGCAUAGUGUAAUUGGCAACAUGCGCGCUUCGGGAGUGCGCGACUCUCGGUUCGAGCCCGAGUGCCCCGACCA
rnacentral:tRNA from 1 species